rnacentral:rRNA from 1 species
AUUGAACGCUGGCGGCAGGCUUAACACAUGCAAGUCGAGCGGGGGAAGGUAGCUUGCUACCGGACCUAGCGGCGGACGGGUGAGUAAUGCUUAGGAAUCUGCCUAUUAGUGGGGGACAACAUCUCGAAAGGGAUGCUAAUACCGCAUACGUCCUACGGGAGAAAGCAGGGGAUCUUCGGACCUUGCGCUAAUAGAUGAGCCUAAGUCGGAUUAGCUAGUUGGUGGGGUAAAGGCCUACCAAGGCGACGAUCUGUAGCGGGUCUGAGAGGAUGAUCCGCCACACUGGGACUGAGACACGGCCCAGACUCCCACGGGAGGCAGCAGUGGGGAAUAUUGGACAAUGGGGGGAACCCUGAUCCAGCCAUGCUGCGUGUGUGAAGAAGGCCUUAUGGUUGUAAAGCACUUUAAGCGAGGAGGAGGCUACUUUAGUUAAUACCUAGAGAUAGUGGACGUUACUCGCAGAAUAAGCACCGGCUAACUCUGUGCCAGCAGCCGCGGUAA